CCCAAAUAGGAGGCAUCAGAUAAGAGUGAAGCCAAGCCUGGCACUCCGAGGGGCAGGUGGGAGCUGGAGAUGCCUCGAGAAGCCCCUUUGGCAUCUGGACCCGACUCGGCCCCGGGCCGUCCUCUGGGGGCUCUCUGAUCCAUUGUCUGAGGACACAUGGUGGACUCACCACAGGGACUGAGGCUGAAUCACAAACUCCAGACCCCAGCAAGGACCUGGAGCAUCCUGGGUGUCCUGGCAUCCAGCUGAUGACCUCAGCCAUCAACACCUGGGAGAUUCCAGA
rnacentral:lncRNA from 1 species